GAUGAACGCUGGCGGCGUGCCUAAUACAUGCAAGUCGAGCGAACAGACGAGGAGCUUGCUCCUCUGACGUUAGCGGCGGACGGGUGAGUAACACGUGGAUAACCUACCUAUAAGACUGGGAUAACUUCGGGAAACCGGAGCUAAUACCGGAUCAUAUAUUGAACCGCAUGGUUCAAUAGUGAAAGACGGUUUUGCUGUCACUUAUAGAUGGAUCCGCGCCGCAUUAGCUAGUUGGUAAGGUAACGGCUUACCAAGGCAACGAUGCGUAGCCGACCUGAGAGGGUGAUCGGCCACACUGGAACUGAGACACGGUCCAGACUCCUACGGGAGGCAGCAGUAGGGAAUCUUCCACAAUGGGCGAAAGCCUGACGGAGCAACGCCGCGUGAGUGAUGAAGGUCUUCGGAUCGUAAAGCUCUGUUAUUAGGGAAGAACAAAUGUGUAAGUAACUAUGCACGUCUUGACGGUACCUAAUCAGAAAGCCACGGCUAACUACGUG
rnacentral:rRNA from 1 species